GUGGAACAGCGGUAGAAUGUGAGCUUUCCGACUGUGAGACCCGAGUUCGAAUCCGUGUG
rnacentral:tRNA from 14 species